UAGAAUCACUACUACAGGUACUAAAUUUACGAACACGUAUAAUCGAUUUGCAAACAUCUAAAAGCAAAGCAAUUUUUAAAAAAUUUUUUACAUUUAGUAAAAUUCGAAGAGUACACGAUAGGAAUAAAGAAAUAUAUAAAGUUUCAAUAGGGACAAGAAGUAUUUAUAUUACUUACCCAUCAUAUGCGACAUGAUUAAUAAAAUAAAAUAAGACAACACUAAUUUUAAUUAAAUCUGUGAUUAAAUGUAGCAACAAUCAAUUAUUACUGACAUAAGAAUUACGUAUCCUAAAUAAGGUACAGAAUAUAUAUGACAUUUUAUGGAACUUCGCUUAAAUCAUAUAUAUACAGAUCGCAGCUUCAGAUAAUUAUUAUAAAGCAAAGAUAAAAUUAUUUAUGUGAUGCCACAUGUGAAUAAAAUAAUGAUAGAAGUUUUUAUUUUCAAAAUAAUUUAUAAAUAUUUAUAAAAUAUAUUUAUAAAAGAAAUUAAAAAGUUAUGUAAGUUUUACAUAUAAUUUUUUAUUAUUCAUUUUAUACAUAUUUUAAUAUGUAUAUGUUUUUAUUAAGCAUUUGCGGUCGGUGCUGAAGUAGUGGCUUGUGCCUGUUGUUCCUCACGCAUACGAUCUUUUUUAAGUUGACCCAUAAAUGAAGUUUUAUCAGCAGCAGUUUGAAAGCGACCAUGUCCAAAUUUGGAACUUGUAUCGAUAAAUUUAAGAUUGAUCUUCUCCAGUGCCGAUCGUUUGGUGUGAACCAAUAAGGACUGUAAAAAUAGAUGAUUAGACUAUAAUUAUAUAAAAAUAAUAUAAAAUAUAUAUAAUUCUAAUUAUA